UACGUAGGGGGCAAGCGUUGUCCGGAUUUAUUGGGCGUAAAGAGCGUGUAGGCGGUUUGGUAGGUCCGCUGUGAAAACUCGAGGCUCAACCUCGAGACGCCGGUGGAAACCAUCAGGCUAGAGUCCGGAAGAGGAGAGUGGAAUUCCUGGUGUAGCGGUGAAAUGCGCAGAUAUCAGGAAGAACACCCGUGGCUAAGGCGGCUCUCUAGUACGGUACUGACGCUGAGACGCGAAAGCCGUGGGGAGCGAACAGG
rnacentral:rRNA from 1 species